AGUAAAAGUCGUAACAAGGUCUCCGUUGGUGAACCAGCGGAGGGAUCAUUAAAGAGUUGCAAAACUCCCAAACCAUUGUGAACAUACCUUCAACGUUGCUUCGGCGGGUUGGCCCCGGUCUCCGGGGUCCCCGGGCCCUACUCGGGCGCCCGCCGGAGGUAUCUAACUCUUGAACUUUUAUGGCCUCUCUGAGUCUUUGUACUUAAUAAGUCAAAACUUUCAACAACGGAUCUCUUGGUUCUGGCAUCGAUGAAGAACGCAGCGAAAUGCGAUAAGUAAUGUGAAUUGCAGAAUUCAGUGAAUCAUCGAAUCUUUGAACGCACAUUGCGCCCGCCAGUAUUCUGGCGGGCAUGCCUGUUCGAGCGUCAUUUCAACCAUCAAGCCCCCGGCUUGUGUUGGGGACCUGCGGCUGCCGCAGGCCCUGAAAACCAGUGGCGGGCUCGCUAGUCACUCCGAGCGUAGUAAUACAUCUCGCUCAGGGCGUGCUGCGGGUUCCGGCCGUUAAAAA
rnacentral:rRNA from 1 species